UCCGAAUUGGUGUAGUGGCUAACAUUUGACGCUCUCAUAAGAUUUCAUCUUGAAAACCGUCAAGCCCGGGGUUCGAUUCCCCGAUUCGGAG